CCAUGCCGCGUGCGGGAAGAAGGCCUUCGGGUGUAAACCGCUUUUGUCAGGGAAGAAAAGGUUCUGGCUAAUACCUGGGACUCAUGACGGUACCUGAAGAAUAAGCACCGGCUAACUACGUGCCAGCAGCCGCGGUAAUACGUAGGGUGCAAGCGUUAAUCGGAAUUACUGGGCGUAAAGCGUGCGCAGGCGGUUAUGCAAGACAGAGGUGAAAUCCCCGGGCUCAACCUGGGAACUGCCUUUGUGACUGCAUGGCUAGAGUACGGUAGAGGGGGAUGGAAUUCCGCGUGUAGCAGUGAAAUGCGUAGAUAUGCGGAGGAACACCGAUGGCGAAGGCAAUCCCCUGGACCUGUACUGACGCUCAUGCACGAAAGCGUGGGGAGCAAACAGGAUUAGAUACCCUGGUAGUCCACGCCCUAAACGAUGUCAACUGGUUGUUGGGAGGGUUUCUUCUCAGUAACGUAGCUAACGCGUGAAGUUGACCGCCUGGGGAGUACGGCCGCAAGGUUG
rnacentral:rRNA from 1 species